AGUGAACGCUGGCGGUAGGCCUAACACAUGCAAGUCGAACGGCAGCACAGUAAGAGCUUGCUCUUACGGGUGGCGAGUGGCGGACGGGUGAGGAAUACAUCGGAAUCUACUUUUUCGUGGGGGAUAACGUAGGGAAACUUACGCUAAUACCGCAUACGACCUACGGGUGAAAGCAGGGGAUCUUCGGACCUUGCGCGAUUGAAUGAGCCGAUGUCGGAUUAGCUAGUUGGCGGGGUAAAGGCCCACCAAGGCGACGAUCCGUAGCUGGUCUGAGAGGAUGAUCAGCCACACUGGAACUGAGACACGGUCCAGACUCCUACGGGAGGCAGCAGUGGGGAAUAUUGGACAAUGGGCGAAAGCCUGAUCCAGCCAUACUGCGUGGGUGAAGAAGGUCUUCGGGUUGUAAAGCCCUUUUGUUGGGAAAGAAAAGCAGCAGGUUAAUACCCCGCUGUUCUGACGGUACCCAAAGAAUAAGCACCGGCUAACUUCGUG
rnacentral:rRNA from 1 species